rnacentral:rRNA from 1 species
GUCCACGCCGUAAACGAUGUCGACUAGCCGUCGGGCUCACUAUUGAGAGUUUGGUGGCGUAGCUAACGCGAUAAGUCGACCGCCUGGGGAUUACGACCGCAAGGUUAAACUCAAAGGAAUUGACGGGGCCCGCACAAGCGGUGGAGCAUGUGGAUUAAUUCGAUGCAACGCGAAGAACCUUACCAGCCCUUGAUAUCCAGCGAACCCUUGAGAAAUUAAGGGGUGCCUUCGGGAGCGCUGAGACAGGUGCUGCAUGGCUGUCGU